AUGAGAUCAAAGAAACUAGCUGCAGAGCACAGAGACAGGAUUGUGUUGAGACACAGAUCGGGGGAAGGAUGCAAAAAAAUCUAGGCUGCAUUGACUGUUCCCAAAAGUAGUGCCCUCCUUUAUUCUGAAAUGGAAGAAAUUUGGACCAACUGGAACUCUUCCUAAAGCUGGCUGCCCAGCCAGACUGAGCAAUGAAGGUAAAAGGGCCUUGGUAAGAGAGGUGACCAAGAACCCAAUAGUCACUCUGAGUGAGCUCAUGAGAUAAUGCAUGGAGAUAUGAGAAUCUUGCGUAAAGACAACCAUCACUGCAAUACUCCACCCAUCUGGCCUUUAUGGUAGACUAGCAGGAUGGAAGUGUCUCCUCACUCCAAGAC